ACACACACUCACACACACGCAUACUAGAAUAAUGGCUGUAUCGUGCGAGUUCAUUCUCUCCGCGUUUCUCGUGAUCAUCACGGGGCUGUUGUUUAUCGACCUGGUACCCCUUCAGGAGACGAUGCUGUGCCCAGGCAACUACACAAAUGCAAUAGAGUGUCCAGAGGUUUACUAUUCCUCCUCCUAUCAGCUGGCGCGGGAGCGGUUCCUUGCCGCCGCUGAGGCUGCCCACGCGCAGAUUGAGCAUCAUCUCAUCACCAAGAGGGGUAACGAGGAAUACUACAUGGACACCGCCUUCUUUGCCGGUAAGCGGAAGGACAAGCUGCUGGUGCACACCAGUGGCACCCACGGGGUGGAGGGCUUCACGGGCAGCGCCAUCCAAGUGAAGCUGCUGCAAGAGUGGAACGAGACUGCUCUCUCUGGUCCGUCCAUUCUCUUUGUGCACGCCGUGAAUCCGCACGGCAUGGCCCACUUCCGCCGUUUCAACGAGGAGAACGUCGAUCUCAAUCGCAACUAUCUUUCCACCGAGGAGUGGGCUGAGGUGAAGGCGCGGGACGCGAAUAUCGCAGGCUAUGAAGAUCUCCGACCGUUACUCGUGCCACAGACACCGCCGCGCUUCAUUGACCGCUACGUGCUCCUCUACGUUGCCGCCAAGACGCUGGCGCGCCACGGAUUCGUCAAGCUGAAGCGCGCCUUCGUUACCGGCCAGUACCACGAUCCUGCAGGCAUCAACUACGGUGGCGACAGAGAGCAGAAAAGCAUUUCAGUGUUGCGUGAGGUGCUCAAAAAGCACGCGGUCGCCACCGGAGCGACCGAAGCAGUCUAUCUUGACGUGCAUACCGGUCUCGGUCCCACCGGAGUGGAUACGAUGAUGAUGAAAAGCAGCCAAGAAGCUGAAAAAUGCCGCAAAGUAUUCCCUGGGGCGCGCAUCGACAAUAGCCAAACCGCCACAAGCGGCCCCAGCGCGGGGUACAAUCUCGUCGCCGGCAGUAUCCGUCCCGUGGCAGAGCUGGGGCCCAACACCCUCGCUGUCACGGAGGAGUUUGGGACAGUCAAUCCGCUCUUCGUGGCACGUGCCGUGAUACUUGAAAACGCCGCGUAUCGGCUGUGCCGCGGAAGCUACGUCCAUGCAGUGAUGCAAUCAUGGAUGCGCGACGUUUUCUACCCGCAAGAGAUUAGCUACAAGCGAGCCACAUUGAAACGCGGGUCCGUAGCGUUUUGGAAAGCUUGGACGUACCUCGCAGAGAGCCAAGCGUAGGGGUGCCUGAAUCCCGCUUUCCGAGCCUCUACAGCUUUACCAAGCAAGUGCAUCCACCCUGCUUAAGCUCUCUCGCAGCGGAUGCACCUCAGGUGACAGCGUCUCUUCGCUCCUCUUUAGCAGGCAAAACUCUGACGCAUCACAACUUCCUUUUUGUGUUUGUUUGUUUCAUCUUGGGGUGUGCAAAGGCCACCAUUGGGCUUCACUGUCGUUACGUGUGCACAGCAAAUCCGUUGAAAGGGGGAGGGGCGAUGGCCUCCAGUAUGUCUUUCUGUGUUGUGUUGUGCAUGUGUGUGUGUGUGUGUGGACGCUGCGUGCGUCUGUGCAGAGGAAUGGAUGUGGGCGUGUGGGGAGGUUUAUGGCAGAGAACAAUGACAUGAAAACUCAUUUCGGUUUCUCCGCAAUGACGGCAAGUCGAGCACGCAUCACAGAAAGCGAUAAACCUCACGUCUACUCCUGAAGCGAGCAGGAUAAGCGCGUCGAACGGCACACUCAAGUCAGCACAAGGGGCAACGCACGAACCACAAUGAGACACACCCUACAUUACCUCAUCAGAGCCGCCCCCUGGCUGCCGCACACUGUACAACCAU
rnacentral:misc_RNA from 1 species